rnacentral:rRNA from 1 species
AACGCGAAGAACCUUACCAGCCCUUGACAUCCCGGUCGCGGGAACGAGAGAUCGAUCCCUUCAGUUCGGCUGGACCGGAGACAGGUGCUGCAUGGCUGUCGUCAGCUCGUGUCGUGAGAUGUUGGGUUAAGUCCCGCAACGAGCGCAACCCUCGCCCUUAGUUGCCAUCAUUUAGUUGGGCACUCUAAGGGGACUGCCGGUGAUAAGCCGCGAGGAAGGUGGGGAUGACGUCAAGUCCUCAUGGCCCUUACGGGCUGGGCUACACACGUGCUACAAUGGCGGUGACAGUGGGAUGCAAUGGGGUAACCCUGCGCAAAUCUCAAAAAGCCGUCUCAGUUCGGAUUGUGCUCUGCAACUCGAGCACAUGAAGUCGGAAUCGCUAGUAAUCGCAGGUCAGCACGCUGCGGUGAAUACGUUCCCGGGUCUUGUACACACCG